GUACUCUCACACUUCCGAUCCUUUGGUGGAUCGGGAGCGGUGGACUUGGGUGUUGCUGCUUUACUGUGGCUCACCUCAAAUGCAUUCGUGCACCUCCUGGUUGGACAUAGUACGGCGUGAUAAGUGUCUUCGCCGGCACCUCGUUAAGAGGGUGGCCGAUCGGGAGCUCUGUGCUUCAAACCGUCUUCGGACAACAACUGACA
rnacentral:misc_RNA from 1 species